CCUGCCUCUGGCUAUAGAUCGCUGGGACUGUAGGUGUUUAUCAGUGCACUCAGCUUUGGAGGUUUCCCUUGGAGCUGUCACUCUAGGCACUUUCCAUUCCUCGUGUUUUCUGCUCAGAUUCCCAGCAAGAUCCUAGGACCACGGUUGACCUACUGUCUUGGGUUUUGCUUUGACUUGUAAGACACAUCUUCUGCACGCAGCCACACCGAACAUGUAAGGUGUGUGUGUGUGUAUAUGUGUGUGUGUGUGUGUGUGAGAGAGAGAGAGAGAGAAAGAGAGAGAGAGAGAAAGGUGUGUGUGUGAGAGAGUAAGGUGUGUGUGUGUGUGUGUGAGAGUAAGGUG
ensembl:lncRNA